rnacentral:lncRNA from 1 species
GAAAAAUGGGACGCGUGCUACUUUCUGAAUCAGUCUUCUGUUACUGAAGGCCCAACAGAACACACUCGCUCUUCACUCAUCCAUUCGUCCGUGGGGAGCCCACAAAUGUGAGACCAGAAGAUGUGGUUGGACAUUCUUACCCUCAAGCCAUAUGGUUCAUUCUCCAGAGAGCUGUCCCCUAUUUGGUGGAGGCCUUCCCAAGUCACCCACUAACCAAACUCAGGAACUCUUGGCAUCAGGAGAUGGAGACUUUGGAGUCUAAGCUGUGGCAGGUGCUCUCCCAAAUGACCAGUGACCUUGAAAUGAUCCACAAGAGAUAGCCACUGACAACC